GGUGUCUUGGUUAAUGUGUCUUGGCUAAUGUGUCUUGGAUAAUGUGUCUUGGAUAAUGUGUCUUGGCUAAGGUGUCUUGGCUAAUGUGUCUUGGCUAAGGUGUCUUGGCUAUUGUGUCUCGGCUAAUGUGUCUUGGCUAAGGUGUCUUGGCUAAUGUGUCUUGGCUAAUGUGUCUUGGCUAAGGUGUCUUGGCUAAGGUGUCUUGGCUAAGGUGUCUUGGCUAAGGUGUCUUGGCUAAUGUGUCUUGGCUAAGGUGUCUCG